CGCUAGUGUGGUCGCAGGUGCAUGCUGGCAGCUGCCUGAAGCUCUCUUCCUUUUCCUCUAGUGAGCGUUUGUUACUACAAGAAGUUGCUGUAGGCCGGUGGUGGUGGUGCUGGUGGUCUGGUGGUGGCAUCCUCCCGUCUUGUCUUGCUGUGUCCCUGGGAGCGGGUUUUCGUCACUGAGAGUGUCUGCCACGUGUGCUUGGUGAUUAUUGUGGUGUUUUUCUUUGGUGGAUCCCUCCCCUGCCCUAGCCUUCGUCCACUCACUUUGGCCUCAGCCCUGUUAAGGUUCUUUUCCCCCCAUUUUUGUUGGUGUGAAUGAGUUUUAUUGAAGUUUUUAGGAUUAUUGUUUAAUAAAAGAAACAUAUGUUAACUUGGAA